UGGGGAAUAUUGCACAAUGGGCGCAAGCCUGAUGCAGCCAUGCCGCGUGUGUGAAGAAGGCCUUCGGGUUGUAAAGCACUUUCAGCGGGGAGGAAGGCGUUAAGGUUAAUAACCUUGGCGAUUGACGUUACCCGCAGAAGAAGCACCGGCUAACUCCGUGCCAGCAGCCGCGGUAAUACGGAGGGUGCAAGCGUUAAUCGGAAUUACUGGGCGUAAAGCGCACGCAGGCGGUCUGUCAAGUCGGAUGUGAAAUCCCCGGGCUCAACCUGGGAACUGCAUUCGAAAGUGGUAGGCUAGAGUCUUGUAGGAGGGGGUAGAAUUCCAGGUGUAGCGGUGAAAUGCGUAGAGAUCAGGAGGAAUACCGGUGGCGAAGGCGGCCCCCUAGACAAAGACUGACGCUCAGGUGCGAAAGCGUGGGGAGCAAACAGG
rnacentral:rRNA from 1 species